UACAGAGACUGCAAGCGUUAUUCGGAUUCACUGGGCGUAAAGUGUGCGCAGGCGGCAGAGCAAGUCGAGUGUGAAAGCCCCGGGCUUAACUUGGGAAUUGCGCUCGAAACUACUUUGCUGGAGUGUGGCAGAGGAAGGUGGAAUUCCACGUGUAGCGGUGAAAUGCGUAGAGAUGUGGAGGAACACCAAUGGCGAAGGCAGCCUUCUGGGCCAACACUGACGCUCAUGCACGAAAGCGUGGGGAGCAAACAGG
rnacentral:rRNA from 1 species